AAUCCGGUGAAAAUGGCUAUUAUAGGUUUUCGUCGAUUUGUAUAAGUACCUAUCUAAAAAAUAUGCCGUUUGUCUUUGCAAAGCAAUAAAUGCAAAUUAUUCCAAAAGCACGUUUUUACAUCAAAAAUAAAAAAUAAAUAAAUAGUUCCAUUAGGUCUGUUUAUCAAUUUUUAAUUUAAACAUAACAAGUGAGUAUACAAAUAAAUUAAUAAUAAUUAUAUUGUACUUACGCCUAACUUUAAAAUUGUCUUCAUCAAUAAUUCAACGUUUCAAAAUUAUUUUUCAGUUAAUGAAAAUAACAGUGUAGUUGAAUUUAAAUUAUAGAUGCACAAUUUCGUGUUAAAUUAAUUCGAAACGCUAUACUGCAGUAUACUAUAUUGUCUAAACUCAGGUUUAUAAAAAAGAUCUACUGCAUAAGAUGUAUUAAAACAAUGUAUCAAAUACAAACUUAUAUUAUAAUAUUAUAUUGAUAUUUUCUUUUUUACAUCAGCUUUUUUAUAUUUUUUUUGUUAGGUGUUUUUGUCCCUCGAUUUUUGUGGAUAAAAAAUGUUUGACAUCGCAUAAAUAUUUGAUAAUUCGUUAUAAGAUCUUAUAAGUUGUUCUAAUAGAAAUAAAUAAAUAUCGAUAAUCUAUAAAGUUUUUUUUACAUAUAAUAUAUGUAUUUAAAGCGUUUGGCGUUUGAAAUUUCAGUCCAAUUCGUAAAUAUUAUAAACAAUAAAUUAUUGUAAAUUAUUUUUUAAUAAAAUACGAAUAAAAAUAUAUUUGGCUACCAUGGUUUUGUCGUAUUAAACGAAAAUGUAAUUUAAAAAAUGAGAAUUUGUCUUUCCGUUUUCACCAACCACCCCUCUCAACAGCUGUUGCCCAUUAAUUUAUUUUUCAAAAGUUAUUUUCUUGCCCGUCACAAUUAAAUUAAUUAAUAAUAAAUGUUUUCUAAUUAACUCUAAUAAAUGUUCAAAUUUUUAUAUAUAUAUUACGUUCGUUUCUGUUUUUGUUUUGUAUUUAUCCAUCACUAUUAUGAUAAUGAACCUUAUGUCAAAUCUUCGACCGCGUUUUAUCGCUAAAAUGUUUAAUAUUGCCGUAGUGUAAUAGACGGUGUACGUGCGGAUUAUUAAGAAGAUAAUAACGGUAUACAGGUAAGCAUUUGUGUGGGGAUGCAAAAAAAAAAAAAAAUAGGUUUUUUUCCCGUCCACAGCGCCGUUAAAAAGGUUUAUUCAAUCAGUCGAAUGGACGAUCGCAGAUUAUAUUUUUACUGACAACGUUGUGUCAGACGCCGUCUGGCGACAAAAGCCGUAGGAAUUGUGUGGCGUUUGUUGAGCUGGCGUGACAAACGAGCUUACGCGCACGUUUCUCAACGAGACGCGUCUUCUAGGGGGUCUUUGGUGUUUUUGGAGUCUUUUUAUGGGACCGCGGAGCGUUUUCCAAGUUCUGACGAUUAUAAAGCGUAAUCGCCGGGACUACACCUAUAUUAUUAUAAUAAUAUGUAUAAUAUCUACCUAAUCGCAGAGAUGGCGUCCAUAGGCUGUAUAUAUCAGACGUAAUUUAUCUUUCCGCAAAGACCUCGACAUCGUAAUAAUAUUAUUAUAUCUAUGCAAAUGUUUUAAGAAGAAUUAGCCUCUAUAUAAUAUACAAACAACCUGCACGCUGUUCGCUGAAUUCGCACUAUCCACGAACCCCAAUGAAACUUUUUGAAAACCUAAUAAACACACGCGGACGGACAAUUACUUAUAAAAUCUUCCCCUUUGCUUUUAUCCCAUGCGCAAACUCAGGAGUAGUCGACUGACUACACUCUGCGAGUUUUACUAUCUACGAUAUUAUCGUGUGUGGUUUUUUCCCCCCUGUUUGUUCACGCGAUCUUAGUUAUAAUAUUAAAUCUUUGAGUUAUAACUGUUAUGAUGUAAUCCUAUUUUUUUCUAGUUAUGAUGUAAUGUAAAGUUAUUAUUUUUAAUUAAGUCAUUUUUAAAAUCUAAAAUCUAAGAAUCUGUAUAUUUUUUUUUGUUUAUAUUCUACAGUAAGAAAUAAACCGUGGAGACUUGACAUAUUAUAUGCUUCCCAAGUAUUAGCAUUUUACAAGCAUUAGCAUUUUCAAGACGUGGUUUAAUUUAAAAAAAUAUUUUGGCCGUUUUUGAGUAAUUUUAUUCAAAUAUAAAGGUUAACCUUUGAUUAUUUUUUUAUAUAUGCGGUUUACAUACCGUUAAAAUUUCGACAAUUUAAUACAAGGUUCAUCUUAUUAAGUUGUUUUUAUUGGUAAAAGAAAAACUGCAAUUUUUUUUGCGUUUGAAGUUUGAUAACGAAUUUUGCUUUGAUCAAUGACCCGUCUUCUUGCUUAAAUAAGUUUUAUUGACUUAGAUUUAUUUGGUUAAAGUUUUUAGAAGGAUAAGUCUUCCUUUUCCGCCUGACUACCCCACCCCCUACUAGUGACUACUCAGUCAGCAAUGUAGGCACAUGUCCAUAAGUAUAUCAAUUGAAUUUUUUUUUUUUGAUAUCAAUUAUUUCUGUUGACACAGUAUUACGAGUUAAAACUAAAUGUUGAACUUAAUAUUACGGUGUAUACAACUACUGCAGCUUAAGGACCUCUGACCGUUUUUAUAAAAUAAAUAUCAAUAUGAUGUCGAGUCCGGAGAAAUGACAUUAAAAAAACCACGAAACGAUGUGAAUAAGAAUAAUAGAAAAACAUAUGGUACGCAAGAAAAAAAAAUACAUGAUGUAAAAAGCUCGACCGUAUGUAAUAUAAUAAAUAAAUAUAUAUACGAGGUCAACCGUUAAAACUAUGAAAAUGUUCUAUCGGGCAGGCAUCCCCAUCAGACUCUAAUUUUAUACAAUCUAUACUUUUGCUUGUACAGCUAUUUCUAUGCGUAUUUUUAUGAGUUUAUAAAAAAAAACACACAACUUAUGAUGAAUUUCAUAUUAAAUAUACGGGCAUUUUAGCUGGGCUAAAAUAAUUGUACUCGCAUAAAGCUAAAUAAAAAAAAUUGAUAAAUUUUACAGCGUUUAGAAAAAGCUAAUACAUCGGUAUUCGGUGAAAAAGUCUUGUUUCUACGGUUUUUCCUAAACUAAUUGUUAACAAAUUACAGAAACCGCUGGUGCGUACAUUUUUCCGUUUUUCUUACAUAUUUUCCUAACUAUUAAAAAAAGCACGGGCAUACUAUUCAUGUGGGUGCAACUAUUGUUGUAGGUGGAAAGUUGGGAAGGUAGGGUACAGACGAGAAUUUAAUAGAUAUGAAUGUAAGCAACGAUAAACCAAUGCUAACGAAAAGCGAUUCUGAGCGGAGUUCAGUUGAUAAUAUUACUUUGUCAACAAUAUAAUAUAAUAAUAUAUCAUAUAAAUAAUGGUAAAGUGAUUAGAACAAUGUGCGUUUCCAUGACAAUAGUAAUUGUUCAAACAAAAGUUUAAAUUAAUUAAACUUAAUAAUAAACAAAAAUAAAUAAAAACGGUUGCCAAUGACAAUCUUAUUUUGAAUCUUUCUAUCUUUUUUAACCUAAAGAACUAGGUUUUUUUUAAUUAUUUCGAAUUCUAAUGAGAUUUUCAAAUAACGACUUCCUUAAAGUACCAACCCAAUCAGAUUUCCUUUCAGAAAAUGUGCUACACUUGAAAAUUGGAGUCAAAUUUCUGAAGAAAAAUUGUUCUCUGAUAAAUAUCAAAAAAAAAAAAAAAAAAAACACCAUUGCAAUACCAAUAAAUUUCUCGCUUCGAAUCUAAAACGAUACACAUAGUGAAACCGUUGAAAAACUAUUGUACUAUUAAUUUCGCAACGAGUAUCAAAUAAUUCGUACGACGUCAAGACAUAUAUAUUAUUUUUAAAACAUACAAUAAUAUUACAAAAGCCCCAAUAUCGUUUUCAUCGUUUUGUGCCUAAUAACAAUAACAACGGUUGUUGUGUUCUCGCAUUCCCGUCAUAAUAACGUUUUACUUUUCCAGUGGAUUAAAUCAUCGGCUGCUAUACGGUUGUACAUAAUACAAUAAUAUUAUUAUUUCUGACGUACCGUUCAGUCAACACUCACGAUGACGGAUUAGCGAUGAGCGCACCAUUUCGGUUUCAUUAUCGUUUGUAUUAUUCAUAAUACCAUCACGAGUGAAAAAUAUCAUUUUCGUCGUAUUAUUUCGUUGUUAUCGCCGCGUGUAAACGAUUUUUGCGACAUUUUAUGAAAAAAAAAUGUUUCCCUCGUCGUCCGUGCAGUACCUCGCAUGCCUUCGACAUUCGCAUAAUAACACGGAUAACAUUAAUAUUUUCAAUUAAAUUACGGGCGCGGGUUUUCGUCGGUUUCGAAUAAUAAUUAUUUUAAUAAUAACAAAUACGAACGGUUUUGUUAUUUGUUUUCGUUUUUUGACAUUUUGACCCAUUUCCGUUGGUCCACGGACGUCAAGUAAAACGCACGUCGUAGUAGCCAAAAUAAAUUCGAUCGAGUUUGAAUAUUAAACUUGACAAUAAUUUAUUUGCGUAGCAUAUUUUAUUAUUAAGACGUGAUGUAAAGCUAAACAUAUUUUUUCACGCGUUUGGACUGUGUUAGUUUUUUUUUUUAUUAUUUUUGAUUUUUGAUUUGUACAGGAAACGACAAUCAUUUAGGCGAUUUUAAAAUAUUUAUUGUGGCCGAUAAAAGAAUACUACUUCAUAUGAAUAAAGAUACGUAAACGUAUGUGUUGUAUAAAGAUACAUUUUAAAAUACAUUGGUAAAGAUAAGAAAUAAUUGCUUGAAUAUUUAUCUAGAUAAAGAUAAAAACCAGAUAUCUAGAUAAAAAUGAAAAAUAUAGUUUUGUUCAUAACCAAUUAUAAACUAAAAGUUAUAGUUAGUUAAAGUGUACCGGAUUCGGUAUGGAUAACAAAAAGGUUGUAUGGUUGAUGCAAGUGAAUAACUUAGUUAUCUAUACUUUUAUGUCUAUAAUUAGUUAAUAUUAUUAUAAAGAGGUAAAAUUUGUUUGUAUAUAGUGGGUAAUCUCCGGAACUACUAGCUCGAUUUUAAAAUUUUUUUUAUGAAUUCAUUACGACACUGCGGUGGUUAUAGACUAAUCAGUUUUUAUUUUUUACAUUUUAAUCCACUAAAUUAGAUCACUAUUUAAAAGCGUUGGAAAUUAACGUCCUUUACUGCGUAUACGUUUUUAAUGAUUUAAGAGUUACUUUGGUAAUACAGAGAAAAUGAUAAUUUCAUUCCAUAAAAGAUUCUACAUUGAAUACAUCGGAGUAAGCUUUCUGGUAGAAAAAGUGUUCACAUAAAAACAAAAAAUAAACUUUAUAAAAUCAAUACAUUCUUUGUUUCACUCAGAAUCUAAAAAUGAAUCUAGACGAUUUAAUUAUUUUUUUGAAUAACUUAUUUCUCAUUUAUCUCGAUAAAACACAACACAUGGUAUACCCAAGUACCAAACGUAUACAGUUUAAAAUAUUCGGAUUAUACUUUGCAAAAGUAUUUAGUGUGCGAGGAGUAGGUAUUUAAUAGUGGCCAUAUUUUUAUGAAAUUCGUAUUUACAGUCAUCGCGAUAGUAUUUUAUAUCAGAGCGAUUUCUGUGGAUGACAAGUACGCGAAUUUUACAAUUAAAUCGCAAUACACGUUGUUUUAUAAAAAGUUAUACAGUAUACACUGUAAACGGUAAUUAAGUGUAAGGGCAAACGUAUAUGUAUGGUAUUAUGCCUUAUAAAACACAUUAGUGUAGUAGUGUAAAACACUAUACAGCUGCUUGAAGGAAACAAAAGCUAAACGUUUAUUGGAAGUUUCGCGAUGCAUUUUAUUUAUUUCCGAGUUUUCGUGUUCUGUAUAGCCGUUCUAUCUCGCUCGCCUCUUUUACAACAGUGCAUAUUUCGGCUCGUUUCCGAAUUCCUCGGCUUCCGCGCCGUCCGUGAACUAUGGCCGCGAUGUAAUAACAUCCUAUCAAGGAUAUAUUUUGCUGCUGCUGUCGUCUUUUUCGUUUCAAUAUAAUUUACAUUUUUUUUUACGUUACAAAUGUCUCGCGUACCGACGACGACGACAGUGCGUCUCACCGAGACCGUUUACAACAGUGUACAGCUAACAAUAUAGACGGGGUCGUCGUAAUGAAUAAAACUAGUCGACUCGUCCUAAAUGAUGUAGUUAAGUAUAAUAAUAUAUAUAUUCAUCGGUAAAACUACGACAAAACAUAUACGCACACAGACAAUACACUACAUAAAAAAUAAUGUCAGUGAUAAGCAUCGUUUUGUGACCCGAGAAUGUAAUUUCCCUUAUCUCGUUUUGGUUUAUACCGCAUCGCCGCUGCCGCAGUCAGUAAAGGAGAAAUAAUACAAUAUUUCUACUGUCCGUGUAACAGCAAUAACGAAUAGAUAUUAUUCCGCAUAAUUCCGGUGUAUGACAUUUACAAAAAAAAAAAAAAAAACAUAAAUAAAAAUAAUCAUUAUCAUUUUUUACGACUAUUUAGUAUACUCUACGUAGGAUUUUUUUUUUUUAUAACUUAUGUAACAAGUACGUAAAACAUAAUUUGUGCGUAUUUAAUGUACACAACCUGAAUAAAAUUGUCAGUUUAUUGUGGAGUUUUUAUUGUUAUUAUUAUUCUUUUUUUUAAAAUGUGGAAUCUUGACUUUUUGUAUAUUCGCGUGAAAACUUAUCGUAAUUUUUAUAUCGUCCUAGUGCUGUAUUUGAUAUUUUGACAGUUUACAUAUAUUAAGUUUAUUGAUAUUUUGACAGCUAUUAUCGCGUUCCGUGUUUACAACCCUUCCAUAGAACCGCAUUUAACAUUGUAUAAACAUUGAUUUUUAUAUUUGCGAUACAUCGGCACACGCAUUCUACAUAAUAUUGUAUUUUGUUACCCCUGUAGUUUGCAUUCAAACUCUGCCUGUCUACCUUUAUUAUUUUUUUCCUAUACGUGCGUAUUUGUCGUUGGUUUAUAAUAAAUAAUAAUAAUAUUUUAUUACGGACAAAUAAAUUCCAAUUUACAUAAAAAUAAACUAAACAGAAAAUGUACAGUCACAUAUACAAUAACAGCUAUUAUACGCUAUUAUACAAAUAUAAAAAUGAGUUAUACGAAUUUUUGAACGUUUAAUUAUUUAUUGAGUUAAUUAAAUUUUAAUUUCUCGUCUGAAAGCGUAAGACAUUCAAAUCAAAUAGAUCGUAGCAUAUUAUACACAAUCAGUUAUUGUAUUUAUUCAAUUAGAAAAUGUUUAGAUGCUAAACGUAUAGGCGGUCAUUACAGUGUUUCUUUCUGGUUUUAUAUUAAAAUGUAUAAAAUGGCAAAAUAAACAAUAGAAGGAAUAGUCAUAAACAAGAAAGAAUACUUUUGUAAUAUAUUAUAUACUAUAUGAACAAGGCGUAAAUUGGCACGGUAGAGAAAAUAUAUCCAUUAGAAGUACAGAACCACUCCGAUAUGAAAAUUUCGAGUUUUGUUUUUCCAAUUAGUUUAAAAGGACUCUGUAAUCCAAAAUUCAUAAAAACGUCAGUGUACCUACACGGCAAAGCGGAAUACAAGGGUAAUUUAAACAAUUAUAAUAUUGCAGCGGUGAACUUACAAUAGAAAAAAAUCAUGUUUUUUUUCGAAUUUCGACGGUUGUUUAAAAAAUUAUCAUCAUUUAGUAGGUCUGAGAAUAUCAAAAGAAUACUUGGCUCAAGCCUGAGUACCGUCUGUGUUCAAAUUACAAAUGUACGAGUAAAAUAUAUUAGGUGUCCUCUUUAAAAAUAUGACGGAUGAAACUUUUUGAGCAUUUUCACCGCCCUCGAAAGUAUUUCGCGGGGGAAAUAAAUAUACCACGUCAUUGUAAAACUUAAAGCUUUAAAUCUCUCGACACUUGGCGUGCAGAAUCUCAAAGUUUUAUAAGUGCGGAGUAAUUUGGGCAAUAUGCUAUGAAUUUAAAAAAAAAAAAUAGUUUUUAUAAAAUUGAAUAAUUUGUUAUUUUUAAAGUAUAAUUAAAUUAUUAUAUUAUAUUGUUGGCAUAUAUAUAUAUAUAUGUAUGUAUCAUAAAUAUACAUUAGUUAGGCGUGUUUCUGGGAAUCGGUCGGGGGUGAGGGCUAACCGCUCCAAAGUUCCAGAACCCGUCCUUAUUUUAUUUAAAUGUUUUUUUUUUUUUACAGACGGUUUUAAGAGAGGGCUUUAGUCCUUUAAGCUCCUCACACAUAAGGUUUUUAGCCCCGCCCCGAGUUAAUAUAUUUAUAAAAGCUGCCGCAACGACAUUUGUCGGAUUUGUAAUCUUUAAGAAAAUAUAAUCAUUUUAACUUAUUAAUACAGACGACUUAUGCCGUUAUAGUGUCUACAUAAAGUGUAUAAUGUAUAUGUUGUUUGUUAAUUCCACGUAUAUAUCUCCCGCGGUAUAAAAUAGUUUUCCAAACGGAUAAACAAUAUUGUCCCACAGUGUGUACUUCUAUCCCGCGUAAGACGAUACGCGUCGCCUGUGUAUACAUUAAAGUCGCGUUCUAUAUCAGUAUAGAUACCUGAGUAAUUUCAAACACGAUUUCUCUCGAAACGACUUUUAUAACCCUCGCGAGUUUCACACCGGUAUAUAUAUAUAGCGCCUGCAGAGUUCCGGGUCGAGUGUACGGAAAACAUAUUUACCCCAACAACGACCCCGCUUAAGUUAUGGUUUGUUUUAAUUUAAUUAUAAAUAUAUAUAUAUCUAUAUAAAAAAAAAAAAAUGUAUCAGUGUCGCCGUCAAACGCUUGUUAGAUAUUUUAUGAGUAAACUUAUUUAUAAAGGACAGUGUUGGGCUGCAAUGCAUAAUUCAGAGCAAAUUAAAAAUAUAAUUCUUACACGAGAUCAAGUGGAAAAAACUGAAAAAUGAUAAUAAUCAGACCCUGAUUUACGCAUGUGCAUGAGCAAAAGCCCCCAAAUUUUUAUGGCUCCUUUCUCAUUUUAUAUAAAUAUAAAAUAAAAAAAUUGUAUUCUUUUAAGAUAUUUUAGGUGGGUAAACCGCUAAUUAUUUAAUAAGCAAUUAUUAUUGAACAGAAUUACACAUAUUUUUUUAUUUAAUUAUUAUAUAUUAGAUAUUUUAUGCUGAACGUAUAAGAACUUAGAGCGUUUUUCUUAAAAACAAGAGAAAUUGGAUUAUUCGUUCUUACUGAUUAUCAAUUAUGAUAUAAAACAAUUAACAUUUGAAGAAAUUUGUUUUUUAAAUGUUUGCUUGUUUUAUAUUUUUAGAUUUUUAGUUAAGCGAAGAAUGUAUUUAAUUGGUUUGACAAACAUGUUUAUUUGUUUUAAUUUUCUUUUAUGUAAACGCUUUAUCUAUUAGAAAGAUUACUCCGAUUAUCAAGUAUAGCACCUUUUCUGAAAUGAAAUGUUCUCUAGGGUUACUUUAGGGAUGUUAUUUUUUGAAAUUCUCAUUAAUAUUCGAAAUAAUGAGGAAAACCUGGUUCUUUAGAUUAAAAAAGAUUAAAAGGUUAAAAAUAAGUUUGUCGUUGGCAACCGGUUUUAUUAAUUUUUUUGUUAGUAUGAAGUUUUUAUUAUUUACAUUUUUUUUUUAAGUAAUCAUUGUUGUCCUACAAACGCAUAUUGCUUUAAAAAUUUUACCAUAGUUAUAUUAUGGUAUAUAUAAAUAUUGUUGACAAAGCAACACUAUUAACUGAACUUCAUUUAGAAUCGUUUUUAGUUAGGAAUGGUUAAUCGUUGCUUACAGAUGUACAUUAAAUUCCUGUCAGUAUCCUACUUUCUUAACUUCCUACCUAUAACAGUAACUAUACCCACGUGCGAAGUAUGUUCGUCCUAAUUUUUAUUGAAAAAAUGCACCAAAAUAAGCAGUGGACAAGGCCUCUAUUUCUUUAAAUCAAACAUUGAUAACAAUAUGUCCAUUUAGUUUCGGUCCAUAGAGGUGAACGAUUCGUUAAUUAAAAAUUAUUUUGAGGUAAUAGUAAGUUUUCAGUUUAUUUAUUCGCUGUUGCAUACAGAUAUUCACUAUAUCUGUUGAGUUUUUGAUUUCGCCGCCGUUGUCGUUCCGAAAAGAUUAAUCGAACAAUAAAUACAACUCGUCGUUUGUACAUCGUUAAAAUUCAUUAUUGUUCAUCAAUCACAAUAUCUUCCAAACACUGUUGUACAAUAAUAUCAUUAUUGAAUUGUACAUACUAUUCGAAGAAAAUUUGAUUUCGCGUCAUGAAUACAAAUGUAUUAUUCAUACACUACUUAGGUAGGUUAUUUAUUAGGAAGUCGACGGUAGUCUAUUAUAACAUCAAAAGACGAGCAUCGGACAGUAUUACAUUAUUAUAAUAUAUUAUUUGGGUAUAAAAUAUGUAUACCUUUGCAGUGGUGCAACCAGGAUUUAUUUUCGACAGAAGAGGGGGGUGGAUUAUAAAAUUCAAAAAAGGUCGAAAAUACUCACGCGUAGACCAAUAUUGCAGGUGAGUAGUUGGAAAAGUAUGUAUAGGUUAAUAAAGGUAGUUUAGUUUUUAUAAUAAUAUACAAAUGGAAAUCAAUACAAACGAAAAAGCGAUUCUGAGCGGAGUAGUAAUGUACUAUAUUAAUCGUGUUUCUUUCUUUGUUGCCUAUGUAACCCUAAAAUGAAAACAAAAGAAAUCAACAAAAAUGAAACAACAAAAAAGUUAUAUAGGAUGUGAACUCCUGAAAAUGUCGAUAAAUGUUUAAAGUAAGGGUAGGCUGAUACAUAAACCGAUAUUUGAUAUAGAUUUUUUUUUUUUUUCAAAAUAAUCACUUUUAAUCCUGUUAUUUACUUACUCCACCUCAUUUUACCAAAUUUGUCAAAUUCAUCUGUCUCGUGACCUUCCGGGAUAUUGUCGGUGUCCUGGUGGCCAAUCCUGAUUGUCGGUAGGUAUGUAUGGACUUGAUUAAUUUUCCAUACUGCAUGGGUUUUCAGCUUACUGGUAUACUUGGCACACCCUGUGCGCAUGCUUAAUAUUGUAGGACUGUAGGUGGUUUCUAAAAUAUAAAAUAAUAAAGGUGAUUUGGUUUAUAUCCUGAAAAUAAUCAUAAAUUAUUUCGUGAAGUUCUGUAAUCUGAUAAAGUAUUGGUAGUGUUUAUGUCCCGUGUAGCAAUGAAAACUCAAAAAUCAACAAAAGAAAACCAAUUAUAAAUUGUUAUGGUUUCAGAAAAUUAAAAACCUAGGAAAAGAUUAUAGCUCUAAAAAAACAUAAAUUUGAUAUUUGCUUCUAGUUUAUAAUUCCUCCCUGCACUGGUUAUGCAACUGUACCUUUGGGAUUUCGCGCUUUUGUAUCUCGGAACGUUGUUUUCAAUUAUUAUACCUGCCUAUAUUCGUGGUCGGGGAAGAAGAGGGGCAAGUGAAUUCCCCAUUUAUUCCCCGUACUUUUGUGUUUGGAAUGUGAACAGUUUUAUGAAAAAUAGGCAAAAAUAGACACAAUAAACAAUCCUCCUGGGUUUCGAACAUACGGCCCAUAUCUAGACAUUUAUUAUUUUUCCGUUUUAUUUAUUCAUUCUACAAUGUCUCAAACAACGCGAACGUGAAAAAUGAAUUUUGUACACAUCACGAUGUAAAUUUUCGAUUGAACGUGUGCUGAAGAUAGAUACGCUACAUAAUAUAAUAUAAUAUACUUGUAUUGUCCGGUCAAUUGCGGACGGUGAAAAAAUCUGUGUGGAAACGAAAAAUUGGAUUUAAUUAUCGAACCCGGUCAUACAUCAUUUGACGCAUAACAAAAGUUUCGCCUUGUACGUUUAUCUAGGUGCCUAUAAAUAUACACA